UUCCUCAUUUUCUCCCUUUCCUCUCUCUCUCUCUACCCGAGAGCUUCUCUCUCUUCCCCCCUCGCCGGAAAUCGUCGCCACCGUACCGCCGCAGUCGCCGGAAUCCGGAUUUCAACCAAAAUUUCCAGAUUUUCUUCUCUCCAUUCCCUCUUUCCAUUUCUCCAACCAAAAUCAAGAAAUUUGGCCAUCCAACCCUCCAAAAACCCUAGAACUCGAAGCUAAAUUGGGGCUUUUUGUGAUUUCUUCUUUCCAAGCUUAAAUCAAGGUAAUAUCCCUCCUAAUCUAGCCUCUAUUCAUCCGAUCUACAUCUAUUUCUUCCUAAAUCCGAGUUUUUGAUUUGGGUUUGUGAUUUUGUUUGCAUGAACCCGAUUUCUCCUUAAACCAUGAAGCUAGGCUAUGGGUUUGGCAAGGAUUUUUGGUGAAGAAGGCCAAGGAGAAGGAAUAGGACGUGAUUUUUGAAGAAGAAAGGGAAACACGAUCGUUAAGGAAGCUUAAGCGGAAAGCAUCAGAGUGUGGAGUACGCCAGUAUUUUCCAGGUUAUAACGAGGUCAUUCCGGACGAUUUGGAUUAGAAGUGGGUCGUUGGCCAAGUUUGUGUGUUGCUGUUCCUGUUGCUUGAAGUUCUUCCUUUGUGGUAUUCCAUCGUUUUACUCGUUUUUCAUUCCAUGUUGAACUCUGUGAGGUCCGCCUACCUGGGAGCGCGCCUUACCCCUUUGUUUAUUGUUGUUGUUGAACUUUCCUUUCAUUUCGGUUAUGAUGUAAGCCCUAAGGCGCCACAAUGCACUUGCCCACUUUAUUUUUAAGCAUUUCCAGACUUGUUCUUUUGAGUGUUGGGUUGUUGAUUUAAAAUCCUUUCUAAAUUUAGUUUUCUUGGUCUCCUAUUUUUCUAAAAUUUGUAUUUUCGAAAGGCCUUGUAGUAUUAAGUUGGUAGGUCUACGGUAUGUUUACGACGUAUCGAGCUCCUAUUGGCUUAAUAUUACGGCGCUGUGGUAUACCCAUUUGGGUCGCCACACUGCUGCUCCUGCCUCAAAUCUGCAGCCUCUGCUGCUCCUACUGCAAGUCUACAACCCUUACAGCCUCCCUGCUGCCCCUGCCGCAAGUCUGCAGCCCCUGCCGCCUCCUGCUGCCACCGAAAACCCUUGCUGCUGCCUGCAUCCCUGCUGCUGCACCCCUGCUUGCUGCUACUGCCAGUUGCAUGUCUCUACUGCCAGUAUCCCUAACUUAGGAUUGAACAACCACUGCAAUCCUAACUUAGGAUUGAAACAGCAUCUGCAAUCCUAACACGUCUGCUGCAUCCCUGCUUGCUGCUACUACCCGUUGCGCGUCUCUGCUACCUGUGUCCCUAACUUAGGAUUGAACAACCACUGCAAUCCUAACUUAGGAUUGAAACAGCAUCUGCAAUCCUAACACGUUUGCUGCAUCCCUACUUGCUGCUACUGCCAGUUGCGCGUCUCCGCAGAUACUACUUCAAUCCUAACACGCCUGCAUCAACACGUGCGUGUUCUCAAGCCCAAAAUCAUCACGAUGUCGAAUGAACCUAGACUCGACUUUCUCAUGCUUGACUCAACAGGCUCGGAUUAC